rnacentral:tRNA from 1 species
CCCGCGGUAGCUCAGCGGCAGAGCGCCCGGCUGUAGUGGGGAAAAUCUGAGCCCCCCACCCGCCAGACAUCCCCGGAAACCUGGGGAAAUAGAAUGAUGGCGGGGCGGCGAAUAGAGGGCUCAGCAGAUACCGGGUGGUCGGGGGUUCAAGUCCCCCCCGCGGGA